CGCUCGCGAUGCUCACAGGGGCUGAUGGGAGAUUUAUGUAAUGAGCCUUUAGCUGCGGCAGUCGGAUUGGUCAGCGGCAGGCGCGAGAACAAAGGAUCUGCCCCGCCCCCUCCUGCGUCACUCACAGAGACACACCGGAAACACGUCACUGUCGUGUCACUCCGGUAACACUUACAUUCAAAUAUCAGAGAAGAUGAUUCGGAUCCAUUCGGAUCCAUAGAUGCAGGACUCACAUCAGAGCAGCCACGUGUUCCAGGGAUCACUGCGGUCUAACUUCCGGGUUCCGCCCCUUCAAAUGCUCCACAGACACACGUGACCGUCGUUUUGCUGCGUUGAUUGGGUUUUUUCAACGGGAGUUUCUCACCCAGCGCCUUCGUCUUCAGCCUCCACUCAGCAGAGCAGCGGGAGAGGAGCAGACAAGUGCGCUUCAGACGCAACGUGAUCACGACGUGAGGAGGAAGACGACGUGAGGACGAUGUGAGGAGGAAGACGACGUGAAGACGAUGUGAGGAGGAAGACGACGUGAAGACGACGUGAAGACGACGUGAGGAGGAAGACGAUGUGAGGACGA